rnacentral:rRNA from 1 species
GUAAGUAACACGCGGAUAACCUGCCCUUGGGUCUGGGAUAACCCCGGGAAACUGGGACUAAUACUGGAUAGAUCAAAGAUACUGGAAUGUUCUCUGGUCGAAAACUCCGGUGCCCAAGGAUGGGUCUGCGGCCUAUCAGGUAGUAGUGGGUGUAACGUACCUACCAGCCUACGACGGGUAAGGGUUGUGAGAGCAAGAUCCCUGAGAUGGAUUCUGAGACAUGAAUCCAGGCCCUACGGGGUGCAGCAGGCGCGAAAACUUUACACUGCGGGAAACCGCGAUAUGGGGACCCCGAGUGCCAGCACCUAGCUGGCUGUCCCGCUGUCUAAACAACAGCGGUUACAAGGGCCGGGCAAGACCGGUGCCAGCCGCCGCGGUAACACCGGCGGCCCGAGUGGUAGCCGUUAUUAUUGGGUUUAAAGGGUCCGUAGCCGGCUUAAUAAGUCUCUUGGGAAAUCUGGCGACUCAAUCGUCAGUCUCCAAGAGAUACUGAUAGGCUUGGGACCGGGAGAGGUGGGAGGUACUCCAGGGGUAGGGGUGAAAUCUCGUAAUCCUUGGGGGACCACCGAUGGCGAAGGCAUCCCACCAGAACGGGUCCGACGGUGAGGGACGAAAGCUGGGGGCACGAACCGGAUUAGAUACCCGGGUAGUCCCAGCUGUAAACGAUGCUCGCUAGGUGUCAGGUGCGGUGCGACCGCAUCUGGUGCCGCAGUGAAAACUUGAAGCGAGUCACCUGGGAAAUACGGUCGCAAGGCUGAAC